CNUCCCAAAUUUCUUGUCUUAGAUUUGUCUAGAUACGGAUGUAUCUAAUACUAAAAUGUGACUUGAUACAUCCGUAUCUAGACAAAUCUAAGACAAGAAUUUUGGGAUG
rnacentral:pre_miRNA from 1 species